rnacentral:rRNA from 1 species
GAUGAACGCUGACAGAAUGCUUAACACAUCAGCAAUUGAUUGGUGGCGGACGGGUGAGUAACGCGUAAAGAACUUGCCUCACAGCUAGGGACAACAUUGGGAAACGAAUGCUAAUACCCAAUACUGUGAGAGAGCUUUGCGUCACAUUAGCUAGUUGGAGAGGUAACGGCUCACCAAGGCGAUGACGGGUAGCAGGCCUGAUAGGGUGAUCGGCCACAAGGGGAAUGGGACACGGCCCGUACGAAUACGGGGGGAAGGAGUGGAAACUAUUGAACAAUGGACCAAAGUUUGAGCCAGCAAUUCGGUGUGCACGAUGAGGUUUUCGGAAUGUAGAGUGCUUUCAGUUGAAAAGCGGUACCAACAGAAGAAGUGACGGCUAAAUACGUGCCAGCAGCCGCGGUAAUUC